rnacentral:rRNA from 1 species
GACGGAGGGUGCUAGCGUUGUUCGGAAUGACUGGGCGUAAAGGGCGCGUAGGCGGCUCGUGAAGUCGGGUGUGAAAGCCCGGGGCUCAACCUCGGAACGGCAUCCGAUACUGGCGGGCUUGAGACCGGGAGAGGAGGGUGGAAUACCCAGUGUAGAGGUGAAAUUCGUAGAUAUUGGGUGGAACACCGGUGGCGAAAGCGGCUCUCUGGCCCGGAUCUGACGCUGAGGCGCGAAAGCGUGGGGAGCAAACAGG